rnacentral:rRNA from 1 species
GAUGAACGCUGGCGGCGUGCCUAAUACAUGCAAGUCGAGCGAACAGACGAGGAGCUUGCUCCUCUGACGUUAGCGGCGGACGGGUGAGUAACACGUGGAUAACCUACCUAUAAGACUGGGAUAACUUCGGGAAACCGGAGCUAAUACCGGAUAAUAUAUUGAACCGCAUGGUUCAAUAGUGAAAGACGGUUUUGCUGUCACUUAUAGAUGGAUCCGCGCCGCAUUAGCUAGUUGGUAAGGUAACGGCUUACCAAGGCAACGAUGCGUAGCCGACCUGAGAGGGUGAUCGGCCACACUGGAACUGAGACACGGUCCAGACUCCUACGGGAGGCAGCAGUAGGGAAUCUUCCGCAAUGGGCGAAAGCCUGACGGAGCGACGCCACGUGAGUGAUGAAGGUCUUCGGAUCGUAAAACUCUGUUAUUAGGGAAGAACAAAUGUGUAAGUAACUAUGCACGUCUUGACGGUACCUAAUCAGAAAGCCACGGCUAACUACGUG